GGGGCCGACUUGGUUUCGACUCCGUACGGUGAGCCAGGGGAAGCGUGCCGGUGCAGGCUGGAGACCACCGCAAGCGUCGCAGCAACCAAUUAAGCGCCGAGAACACUCAGCGCGACUACGCCCUCGCUGCCUAAUUCAGCGACCGCGUGUCUGUCAGACCGGGUAGGCCUCUGAUCCGGACCCUGGCAUCGUUUAGUGGGGCUUGCUCGCCGACUUGGUCGCAAGGGUCGGCGGGGACGCAUACUUGCGGCUGGGCCCGUCAUCCGGUCAUGUUCGACUGAACCGGAGGGCCGAGCAGAGACCACGCGCGAACUGCGCACGGAGAAGCCCUGGCGAGUUGGCGGAGGACCCGGGUUCAAUUCCCGGCGGCUCCACUC
rnacentral:tmRNA from 3 species